GAUGAACGCUGGCGGCGUGCUUAACACAUGCAAGUCGAACGAAGCACUUUAUUUGAUUUCCUUCGGGACUGAUUAUUUUGUGACUGAGUGGCGGACGGGUGAGUAACGCGUGGGUAACCUGCCUUGUACAGGGGGAUAACAGUUGGAAACGGCUGCUAAUACCGCAUAAGCGCACGGCAUCGCAUGAUGCAGUGUGAAAAACUCCGGUGGUAUAAGAUGGACCCGCGUUGGAUUAGCUAGUUGGUGAGGUAACGGCCCACCAAGGCGACGAUCCAUAGCCGACCUGAGAGGGCGACCGGCCACAUUGGGACUGAGACACGGCCCAAACUCCUACGGGAGGCAGCAGUGGGGAAUAUUGCACAAUGGGCGAAAGCCUGAUGCAGCGACGCCGCGUGAGCGAAGAAGUAUUUCGGUAUGUAAAGCUCUAUCAGCAGGGAAGAUA
rnacentral:rRNA from 1 species